UACGGAGGGUGCAAGCGUUGUUCGGAAUUACUGGGCGUAAAGAGCUCGUAGGUGGUUUGUCGCGUUGUUCGUGAAAACCGGGGGCUUAACCCUCGGCGUGCGGGCGAUACGGGCAGACUUGAGUACUGCAGGGGAGACUGGAAUUCCUGGUGUAGCGGUGGAAUGCGCAGAUAUCAGGAGGAACACCGGUGGCGAAGGCGGUUCUCUGGGCAUUACCUGACGCUGAGGAGCGAAAGUGUGGGGAGCGAACAGG
rnacentral:rRNA from 1 species